rnacentral:other from 1 species
ACAUCUCUGGGGCGUACGUAAGCGACCUGUAUUAUCCCUUGAGCCUUAAAUACUGACUUAGGGAACUGGACUGUUACGACCGUGUGCAUUACCGCUUUGGCGGGAAGCCUAAAGUCGCAACGCUGAUUCCCCCCUGGACUUCCCGGUUCAAGGUCAACAGUAUUUGCUACGGCGUCCCCGGAGAUGUC